rnacentral:rRNA from 1 species
GACGAACGCUGGCGGCGUGCCUAAUACAUGCAAGUCGAGCGAAGUUUUUCUGGUGCUUGCACUAGAAAAACUUAGCGGCGAACGGGUGAGUAACACGUAAAGAACCUGCCUCAUAGACUGGGACAACUAUUGGAAACGAUAGCUAAUACCGGAUAACAGUAUUUCUCGCAUGAGAGAUAUUUAAAAGUUGGUUAUGCUAACACUAUGAGAUGGCUUUGCGGUGCAUUAGCUAGUUGGUGGGGUAAAGGCCCACCAAGGCGACGAUGCAUAGCCGACCUGAGAGGGUGAUCGGCCACACUGGGACUGAGACACGGCCCAGACUCCUACGGGAGGCAGCAGUAGGGAAUCUUCCGCAAUGGGCGAAAGCCUGACGGAGCAACGCCGCGUGAGUGAAGAAGGAUUUCGGUUCGUAAAGCUCUGUUGUUAGGGAAGAAUGGAUAUGUAGUAACGAGACAUGCAAGAGACGGUACCUAACCAGAAAGCCACGGCUAACUACGUG